rnacentral:rRNA from 1 species
AUUGAACGCUGGCGGCAGGCCUAACACAUGCAAGUCGAACGGUAACAGGAAGCAGCUUGCUGCUUUGCUGACGAGUGGCGGACGGGUGAGUAAUGUCUGUGAAACUGCCUGAUGGAGGGGGAUAACUACUGGAAACGGUAGCUAAUACCGCAUAACGUCGCAAGACCAAAGAGGGGGACCUUAGGGCCUCUUGCCAUCGGAUGUGCCCCGAUGGGAUUAGCUAGUAGGUGGGGUAACGGCUCACCUAGGCGACGAUCCCUAGCUGGUCUGAGAGGAUGACCAGCCACACUGGAACUGAGACACGGUCCAGACUCAUACGGGAGGCAGCAGUGGGGAAUAUUGCACAAUGGGCGCAAGCCUGAUGCAGCCAUGCCGCGUGGAUGAAGAAGGCCUUCGGGUUGUAAAGUACUUUCAGCGGGGAGGAAGGGAGUAAAGUUAAUACCUUUGCUCAUUGACGUUACCCGCAGAAGAAGCACCGGCUAACUCCGU